UGCAAGUGCUUCAUGUACGUUUGUUGGAAGUAGCUCCGCAAAUGCAAAGGGCAGUAGUCGUUGCAUAAAGACAUGACAAUCAUGACUCUUCAUCCCAGAGAACUUUUGACCCUUUUCAACACAUCUAGAGAGAUUUGAAACAUACCCAUCGGGGAACUUCACUUCUGAUGCCACCCAGUUGAACAACACCGACUUUUUUUCUGAAGACAGUCUGAAUAUCGGAACAGGAACUUGUCCAUUGCUUUUAAUAUGUAACUCGCUUCUUGAGCAAAUAUCCGGCAAGUCCAACCUCGAUUUUAUGUUGUCUUUUGUCUUCCCUGGGACAUUCAAUAUUGUAUUCAUGAUGUUCUCAAAGAAAUUCUUCUCU
rnacentral:lncRNA from 1 species